rnacentral:SRP_RNA from 1 species
GCUGGGUGUGGUGGCAUGUGCCUGUAGUCCCAGCUAUUGGGGAGACUGAGGCUGGAGGAUCUCUUGAGUCCAGGAGUUCUGGGCUGUAGUGCACUAUGCUGAUCUGGUAUCCGCACUAAAUUCGGCAUCAAUAUGGUGACCUCCCGGGAGCAAGGGGCCACCAGCUUGCCUAAGGAUGGGUGAACCGGCCCAGGUCGGAAAUGGAGCAGGUCAAAACUCCUGUGCUGAUCAGUAGUGGGAUCCCACCUGUUAAGAGCCACUUCGCUCCUGCCUGGGCAACAUAGCGAGACCCUGUCUCUU